CUUAAUUUUAUUUUUUUUUGGUUGUUUGGAUGCAUUCGUCUGGGUUUUAAAGGAAAAGACGGUGGUUAAUGAGUAGUAAAGAGAAAUCAUCUGCAUGUUAAUAAUUCGUACAUAUGCGGAGUCUAUUAUCUAAUAAUUCGUGCACAAAUUUUCUGAAUUUAUAUUUCCGUUAGGAUGAAUCUGUAUGAAUUUCUGAAUUAGUAUGAAUUAUUAAACUUCCUACGCGAUCAUGCACGAAUUAAAGAAUAAUUAAUUGUGAAUUAUAUGCAACAAUGAUUCGUGAGAAUUAAC
rnacentral:lncRNA from 1 species